rnacentral:rRNA from 1 species
UCUCUAUGCGGUGUCACCAGCCGCGGUAAUACAGAGGGUGCAAGCGUUAAUCGGAAUUACUGGGCGUAAAGACGCGCGUAGGUGGUUCGUUAAGUUGGAUGUGAAACUCCCCGGGCUCAACUGGGAACUGCAUUCAAAACUGUCGAGCUAGAGUAUGGUAGAGGGUGGUGGAAUUUCCUGUGUAGCGGUGAAAUGCGUAGAUAUAGGAAGGAACACCAGUGGCGAAGGCGACCACCUGGACUGAUACUGACACUGAGGUGCGAAAGCGUGGGGAGCAAACAGGAUUAGAUACCCCUGGUAGUCCACGCCGUAAACGAUGUCAACUAGCCGGUUGGGGANCCUUGAGCUCUUAGUGGCGCAGCUAACGCAUUAAG